UAAGACCAUAGUCAAUAUAUGACGUAUGAGUUGCAUUCAUAAAGAGUUUCUGUAAACUGGUUUUAU
rnacentral:tRNA from 1 species